GAAGGGGAGGAAGGAGAAGAAGAGAAGAAGAAGAAAGGAAGGAAAAGGAAGAGGAGAAGGGAAGAAAGUAGCUGCGGCUGCGGUUGUGGCAGCUGCAGCUGUGGCAGGGAAAGAAGAAGAGAAAGGAAGAAGGGGAGGAGAGGAAGAAGAGUAGGGGCUGCGGCUGCGGCGAUGGCAGCUGCAGUUGGAAGAGAAGAAGGAGAGGAAGAUGAGCAGGGGAGGAAGAAAAGGCUGUGGCCGUGGCUGAGGCUGCGACUGCAGCAUGCAGCUGGGAAAGAAGAGAAGGAAAGGAAGAAGAAGAGAAAGGAAGAAGGGAAGGAGAGGAAGAAGAGAAGGGGCUGCGGCUGCGGCGAUGGCAGCUGCAGUUGGAAGAGAAGAAGGAGAGGAAGAUGAGCAGGGGAGGAAGAAAAGGCUGUGGCCGUGGCUGAGGCUGCGACUGCAGCAUGCAGCUGGGAAAGAAGAGAAGGAAAGGAAGAAGAAGAGAAAGGAAGAAGGGAAGGAGAGGAAGAAGAGAAGGGGCUACGGCUGCGGCGAUGGCAGCUGCAGUUGGAAGAGAAGAAGGAGAGGAAGAUGAGCAGGGGAGGAAGAAGAGGCUGCGAGUGUGGUGGCUGCAGCCGUGGCUGCGACUCCGGCUGCGGCUGCAACGUUGGCUGCGGUAGCUGCGGCAGCGGUGGUGGCUGCAGUAGCUGCAGUAGCUGCUUUUGGGAAAGAGAAAGAGUAGGAACGAGAGAAGGGAAGAAGGAAAUAGUGCAGUGGAAGGGGGCUGCGGUUGUGACCGCAGUUGCGGUCGUGGCUGCGAUUGUGGCAGCGGCAGCGGCGGCGGCUAUGGCAGCUGCGUUUGGGAAAGAAAAAGAAGGAAUGAGAGUAAGAGAGAGCAGGUGACUGUGCCUCGAUGUUCGACACGUGAUGUAGUUGCGAAGAAAGGAAGAAAACGGGAGCACAAAACGAAACAAAGAGAGGACACGGAGAAAAAGUAGAAGGAUUUGAGCUGGCACCUUCUUUGGAUCUUCGGAUCGAAAUCAUUGAAAGGUCAGCUUGUCACUCUUCGAGAUGUUUGAUUUGGGCUGAGGCAGUGGAUAGCUAUUCAGAAUAAUGGGCAAGUCUGGUUGGUUAUUACGAUAUUGUUGUAUAAGUAUGUCUUGUAUGUAAUGAAAUGUUGUCGAUGAACCGAAAUGGAUAUACUGUGUCAGAGUGUUAGGAGAUCUCUCUUAUUUGGAAUUUCAGAAUGUUAAGUCUAAUUUAUGGUGAUAUGAACUUGUGGUGAAUAGUUGGAGUUCUGAUUGUAUAAUUUAUUUAGCUUGUGGAUUUAUAAAUGUUGUUCUUGUUUGUCAAGUUGGCUUGGGUUGCCAUAAAUGUGAAUUAUCGAGUGAUGUGAUAUAUGAUUAUAAACUGCACAGGUUUUAUGGA